GCUACGGUCUCCCGCGACGGUGCCUCGGCAACGAGGUGAAAAGGGAACGCGGGACGGGGCUGAUCCCCGAAAGCCGCGGCUGCCCCCGCAACUGUGAGCGGCGCGGGCCCGCCAUCGGCCACUGGAGCGAUCCGGGAAGGCGGCGGGCACCUCUCGCAAUGCCGCGAGCCAGGAGACCUGCCGUCACCCGCUUCCUCUC
rnacentral:ncRNA from 2 species